UGGCUGCUCAGCGCUGGAGCAGCGAGUGGCAACUGCGCAGAUCUGGAGUGGCAAGCCGUGGAAAGGAGAUACCCCACAGCCAAGCUCAGUGGCGGCGGCCGUGAGGAGAUACUCCAUGUUCAAGGAAGAGACACCAGAGAUCUCUACCCUCGUGUGCACAGAGAAAAGGCCAAGAAGUUGCAUCUGCAAGCUGAGGAGAGAGGUCUCACCAGAAGCCUAACUGGCAGCACCCUGAUCCUGGACUUCCAGCCUCCAGAACUAUGAGAAGAUAAACUUCUACUGUUUAAGCUACUAGUCUGUGAUACCUCUGCUUAGGUAGCCUAAGCAGACAAAUCAAUUCCCCAGAACGAUUGAUGACUGAGGGGUUCAUACGGACUUGGAGUUUAAUUCUAGCAUUUACUGAUUCAAUUACUCUGCCAAUAUUUAAGUCCUGCUAUGAGUUAGACACUGUCAGACACUGGGUUUCAAUGUUUUUAUCUCUCCUUCUAUGUGAGGGGUGUGAUGGCGCAGCGGUCACACGCGUGUGAACUCUGGAAUCGGCCGGAUUUGAGUGGGCACCAUACCUUCUCCUCUCGGCUCACUGUGAGAGCCGCGAAGCCCUCUGAGCCUCAGUUUACUCAUCUGUAAACUGAGGACGAUCAGAGCUUGGUUGUGAAGAUUAAACUGACGUAGUGACAAAAUGCUUAGACCCACAAUGGAUGCAGGUUAUUAUUACUUUUAGUAACAACCCA